rnacentral:lncRNA from 1 species
UUUUUCUUUUAAAUAUGUUUUCGUAUAAUUUUAAAAACGAUUCGUUGACACGGCAUAAUGUAACACAAUUAACAAUUAUUAUUAUUAGUAUAUUUUUUCUUUCAUAAUUUUAUAUAAUCCACUUGAGCACUCAUUUUGUGCACUGGUAAAAUAUAUAAUAUGUAUAUAUAAUAUGUAUUUAUAUAUAAUAUAUAAUAAUAAUACGAGUAUAAUAUGUACGGAAAAGAUCGUUGUAUAAAAUAAACUUAAAUUAUUCAUACUACUGGACACGGAUCAAGAGUGCCGCUACACAACUUGCCCGUAUUUAUAAUAAUAAUUAUGUAAGUAAUAAUAAGAUAGAUAAAUAAUAUAUAUAUAUAUUUUUUUUUUAAUAAUAAAAUAAGUACAAUAAUAAAGAAAAAAAUAAUUAGUCGAAAAAAAACCACAAUGAACUCAUUCAUUAAUUAUUAAUCAAAUAUACUCGCAAGGUGCUAAAUUAAUAAAUUAAUAUAAUAUUGUAAUAAAUAUAAAGAAAAAAAAAAAACAAAAAAAAAAAAAAAAAAACAAAAAACAAAAAAAACUAAAAGAAUAUGAAGAAAAAAUGCAAAUAUAUUAAUUAAUAAUAAGUACACCUAUAAUUAUAGUAAUAGUUAUCUAAUUACCUAAAAAUUAGAUUGAUAUAUGGAGUGUUUCAAAAAAAAAAAAUUAAUAUCAUACACGAUGAUUAAUACUUCUCUUUUAUUUCUCGGCUAAUGUUGUACAUUUUUAUUUAGUGUAGAAAAAAAAUCAAUUACGAUGUAUUUUAUAAUAAAUCGAGUGAAAACACUCAGAAAUUAUUAUAUACUCUAAGUAAUAUUAGAUAUUCAUUAAACGUAACUGAAAAAAAAAAAUGUGUUUUUCAAGUAAUCCGUAUAAUGUUUAAUAUUAAUAAUAUUAUAUUAAUACAAUGAAACACCCCAAUAGUUAUAACUUAAAUUAUCGAAAAAAUAAAUAAAUCAUACACGAAUAUUAUACAGACAUGAAGGGAUGAUUUUUUUUUUACCAAGUAUAUAAUAAUAAUAGAAUCGAAAAUAUAAUAAAUCGAAUUAAAAUGAAUUAUAAUAGCAUUAAUUAUUUUGUUAGUUGUAUAAUAAUAUGUUACUAUAUAAAUAAGAAUGAGAAUAAAAUGAUAAUAAUAUUGUAUAUUUUGUAUAAUAAUAAUAUAGUAUAAGUAAUAAUAAUAAUAAUAAUAAUAAUAAUAAUAAUAAUAAUAAUAAUAAUAAUAAUAAUAAAAAUAAUAAUAAUAAUAACAAUAAUAAUAAUAAUAAUAAUAAUAAUAAUAAUAAUAAUAAUUUAAAUACACACAAAUAUCGAAAUCAAAGCUAUUAUAAUAAGUAUAAUGUAACCUAUAUAGUAACUAUAUAGGUUACCUAUAUAGUUAAACAUUUUUUUUUUUUUAUAAUAAACAUUUUUUGUUUUACAUAACUUUAUAAUAUUAUUAUAAUUAAUAGAAGUGUAAUUCUUUAUUAUUUAUAAACCAUAAAGUGCUUCGGCGAAAAGUAUAAGUCAAUAACCCAUAAACACAAAUAUAAUUUUACUAAUUACGAAAUUAUAAAUACACACAGAAAGAAAUCAGAUUGGAAGACAAAGGAGUUCAUCUUAUCAAUUUGUAAAAAUAGUUGCCAUGGUUUAAGAAAAUUAUUUAAGGUUGUUAAAGAAUAAUUGGUUUUUUUUUUUACAUUGGACGAAUAUCAUUGUAUAGGGUUAGGUUUAUUUAUUUAUUUAUUAUUAUUAUUAUUAUUAUUAUUAUUAUUUUUUUUUUUUUUUUUUUUUUGAUUUGUUUAUACUAACAAUUUCAAUGAGAAAUAGGUACGGUCUCAAUCGCCAAAAAAUAGCGUGAAAUAUUUUCAGAACAUAUUAUUUUAUUUGAUGGAACGAUGGAGACUAUAUUAUCACAUAAGUAAUUAAAGUUUGGAAAAAUAGACGAGAAAAUUGUUUUUACUCGAUAUUUAUAUAUUAUAUUACCUAUACCUAUUUAUAAAUAAUGGUAUAAUCUUAAAUUAUUAUAAUGACUAGAAUUAUAAUUAGAACGGUUGGAUGAUGAGAGUGGAAAACAACCGGUAAUUACAGAAAAUUUGAUGCUUUUAAAAAAAUGUAUAAAUACUAUAUUAUAUACGUGUACACGUAUACAUCCGAUAAUAUGCAUAUUUUAUGUAUUAUUAUGAUAGGUACUUGGGACAAUACAUUAUGGAAUACAAUAUAACGUAGACGGAUAAGAACAUAAAUAAACGAAUAAGACAAUAUUAUUAUAAAUCAAUUAAUUACUCAUUUUCGUCGGCAAUCCUAUAUUAUUGCGUGAAAACGUCCCAUAUUAUAAUAUUAUUACAACAAUAUAUUAGUAUAAUAAUAUUAUAGAAGUAAAAGAACGAAGAAUAAUGAGUAAUAAUAUCAAAAGUGGGUAAAAACUCAAUGAGAUCAUAAUAAUAAUUUACACGCGGUUGUGUUCUUAUUAUUAUAAUAUUAUAAUACCAAUACAAUAUGGAAGGUAAGUACACUGCCAGAUAAGUGUAGGUAAUAAUUAUUAUUAAAUACUUAUUAAUAUUUAUAUAGUUUAUAAAGUAUGUAUUUUUUUUUAAAUUUUUUUUUUUUAAUUGCAUAAAAUACGAUAUAAAUUAUUAUUUUAUUUAUAAAAACUUAACGAACCAAAAUGUUCGGAAUAAGAUUAAUUAUUGCAAUGACCCGGAUACACGUGACGUUUUAUAAUAAUAUAAUACAUAUUAGUAAUACAAUAAUUAUUAUUAUAUUAUCAUUAUCGUCUACGUUACCUACGUAUAUAUAUUAUAAUAUAUAUUUAUAUAUAUACAGGGUGGUCAAAAGUCAAUGCCGUCCGAUUUACAUGCGAUUCGAAACAAAUAAAAGUGGCAAAGUUAGUUAUUUAUAGUUUUAGUAUACAAAAAAUUAUAUAUAUUAAAAAAUUAGAAAAAAAAUAUCGAGUAUCUGGUGCUCAAAAUGUCGAUAUUUUUUUAUUUUGUUUUUUUGUAUAAUAAACGUAUAGGUGAAGAAACUAUAUAACUUUGAACUUUGGUUUUUCAAGAAUCGAGCGUAAAUCGUACAACCGAAAUUUGGCCACCCCUUUCUUUCUUUUAGAAAAAAAAAUGUUUUUUCUCCCCCCCUCCCCGAGCUUUUAAACUUAAAACAAUCUCGUAUAGAGAAUGUUAUUGUACAAUAUUAUUAGAUUUUUUUUUUUUUAAUCUUCAAUAACACAGUCCAAUAAUAAUAACGACGCUCAUACAAAUCUCACUUGAAAAACAUGUAAAAAUAUUUGUGAUAAUAUGCAAAAAUAUAUUAACUAUAGGAAUUAAUAAUAAUAAUAGGGGAACACGCGUGUUUUUAAUAUAAUAUUAUUUUUAUCGGUAAUAUUUAACGUUUUAAAUCUUUUUUUCGAUUAGAAGAUUUUUAGCGUAAAUACUAUUCGAAAUAUUCUUUAUAAUAUUACAUUGUAUUUGCCAGCGUGUUCAUAUAUAUUAUUAAGUAGAUCAUUACGAUAUUAUUAAUUAAUAUCUAUUAAUAUUUUAUCUUUUCUUUUUUUCUUUUUUUCUUUUUUUAUAUAAUAUAUAUUAUAUUAUUAUACCUAAUCAAUUAGAAAAUGUUGCAAUAAUAAUAAUUUCACUAUCAUAUUCGAAAGAAAACUCGUUAUUUAAAAUUAUUAUCACUAUUUAUAAACUUUUCGUAUAAACCGGUAUAAUAAAACCUACCAUGUAAAAAUGUAUCAAGUAUUAUUAUAAUAUUUUAAACGUAAAUGUUUAUUGUUAAACUAAAACGACAUUUCAAAAAAUAUAUACUCUUUAUAAACAAAGUAGACUAUAUUAUAAUAUUUUACUAUUUAUAUGCCUGUAUUAGCCUGUAUUAAAAAUAUAACAAAACAAACUUUCUAUAAAUUAUUUUAAAAAUCCCUAUAUAACUAUAUAUGACUUUUAGCAAGAAAUUUUUAUUUUUCAAUGCUCGUCACCUAUAUAUAUUAUUGCUAUCAUAAUUUCAAAAUUGUUCGAUUAACGAACGAAUAUUUGUAUCGUAGUAAAAAAAGCACCUACCUAUUAGAACAAAAAAUAAUGUUUCUCAAACUUUUCAAGUAAAUAGAACCAAUUAUUAUUUAGACAUUAUAGGUAGGUAUAACAAUAAAACAACGUGACGGGAGUCCAUUUUAACGAUUUUUUACUCAGCUCUGUACAAAAUAAUAAUAUUAUCAUAAAAUGUAAACAAAGGGCAAUGGAUAUUUAUAUAUUGUGUUCAAUAUAGAAUAAUAAUAAUAAGUGCUAUGAUUUUAAAGAAGCGUUGGUAAGAGAGAGGGGGAUUGGUGGUCUAAUUUUCUCUCUAACUUGUUCCAACUAAAUAUUAACACUUCAAUAUUUAUUAUUUUUAAAACUCUCAAUCCACUCCUAUUAAAAAUAAUUGAUAAGUCAAAAUCACCCACUCAUAAAUAAUCUAUGUGUACGCAUCUGCGUGAUUAUAGAUUGAUAACUUUUUUGCAUUUGUCGCCAUUUGCCCUGCUAUAUACAUAAAUAAAACUUUCAAAACCACAUUAACUGACACACUAUAUUAUGUAGAAUAUAUACAAUUAUUUAUCUUUUUUUCUCCUUCUUUGUCUUCUCUCUCACGGUUAUAACAAUAAUAAUAAUAUUUAAGUACAAAACAUUAAAUAUUGAAAACUGAUUAUUAUCCUAUAUUAUAUAGGUAGGUAAUAUAUAUUAUUAUGAAACAUCAUCAUGUGUAAAACAACUCGUUGUUUAGGUAAUCACCGAAACGGAUAUCGCGAAAUCCUCGAAAUCUGAGGGAAAAAAUUUUAUAAGUUUUAAUUUGUUAUUUAUUUAUACAUAUUUUUUUUUUGUAUAGACGAUUAUAUUACAAAUAAAUUAUUAUAUAUAAAUUAUCGAUACAGUUAGAAUAUUAUACCGCGUAUAGAACAGAUUGUUAUGUGGCUGCGAUUUUGCUAUUAAGAAAAAUAAAAUUUCUUAUAUCAAAACGAAUUAGAUUGUAUAAUUAUAUAUUUAUUAUUUUUUUUGUGUUGUUGUUAUCAAUUUUAAUGCAGUAGUUUUAAAUUUCCCUGGUAAUGCUUGUUAAACGAUUUAAAGGUGUAAUACAAUGUAUGUCGAUUAAUCGAAAACAUAUUAUAAAACGAUGAGCGAAAUGGAAAAAAAAACCUAAAUAACGGCGUCCGAUCAUAAUUAAUAAUAUUGAUAUAGUAUAUAGGUAGGUACCCGUUCACCGAUAUGAUCAAUCAUCAAGAAUUAUUUUAUGAUUUUAAUAUACUAUAGUUAACUUAUUAUUUCCAAAAUCGGUAAUAGAAUUAAAAAAAAACAAGAAAAAAAUCAUCGAUAGAAUCAUAAUAAAAUAUGUCGUUAUUUUAAAGGAUUUAAUACCUUUGUAUUAAAUCCUUAAUAUCAAUAUCGACUAAACGGUAUUGAUUAUGAAAGUCUAGUAUUAUGAAUACUUUCACAUAUUCACUGUACGCCAAAACGUUGAUUAGGUUCUUUUUAUCGACGCUUAUAUUAUAAAUUAUUGUAUAAUAUACACAAAUGUCAGACAUUGAUAACCAAUAUAACAAUAAGAACACCGCUCAUGGGUAAUUUCAAAGAAUAUAUAAUGUACCUGUUUCUGUAAAAAUAAUGUUACGAUUUGAAAUUAUUUCAUUAUAUUUGUAGAAUUGUUGUUUAUUUUAUUAAGAGAAAAAAAAAUCUAAAAUAACCCUGCUUAAAAUCUGAUAUACUAGAAAAAACUCCACAUAUUUUUGUUUCCUUUGGUAUUUGAAUUUUAUGUAUCAUAAUAUGUAUAUAUAUAUAUGAAAAUACAUACUAAUAUUUAUUUUGGUUUGCUUAGAAUUUAUCGAUAAAUGAAAUUCCGAAAUUUGUUUUCGUUCCAAAAAAAAAAAAAACAAAUUUGUUACGAAAUUCAAACUUAAAAUAUGCAUUAUAGCACACUACGGAUUUUAAACCGUAAUAAAUAAUCGUAGUAAAAUAUAGUAAACUAUAACAAAUAAUUAAACACAAAACGAGAAUCACAUGGCCGUCGUUUGUUUUGAUUCCGGAAUUUGGUCAAAACCAAUACCCAGUAAGAUAAAUGCGCAUUAAAUCUCAGCAUAUAAAGUAAUUUAAGUAAAUAUUUAUGUGCGUUAUUUAAAUUAAUACAAUAUAUUUUCGUGUAUACGACAGUGGCGGCUUGGAUAGGGUACAUUUGAUUUACGUGAUUCAUAAAAAAAAAAUGGGUGGGGGGUCGUGGGUGCCUGGGUAUAUAAGAAAUAUAACAAAAAUAUUAUAUUUUUACAAAAUAAAAUUUAUUAAAAGAAUUUUAAACUGCAGAAAUUUAACCAUUUUAAUUGGAAUUUGUGGUAGAAUGGGGCUGUGGGGGUAUUUUGGGACGGCAUGGAUGGGUGGAUGGGUGGAAAUUUAAAUCAGUGAUGCAAGGUAAAAAUACUUCGAACCACCACUGAUUAUUACCUACACUCGUAUAUUAUACGGUAUAUACUUCAAAUGUAAUAGGUAAGUAUGUAUGUAGGUAUAAUUAUUGUUAUUACUUGCAAUUUAGUUAAAUUCUAUUAUACAGAAUAUAUAGGUACAAUUCACAAAACAUUUUACCGUUCUGAAAUAUGAUUUCAAUUGAAUUUAUCAUCAGACAAUCUAUAUAUUCUAAACAAUUUAAUUUAGUUACCUAAAAAUUUAUUUCCGAAAGAUUAUAACAUACAUUUACAAUAGUUUUCUGAUGUCGAGUUUCAAAAAUGCAAAUACAUAAUAAUAUAGAAUUCAAUAUAUUAUUCUAUAUAUAUACACAAUAUACAAAAACUGGAUAUUUUUAAUACUUUCAAUUAUUAAUGGUACCUAUUAAUUAGUUGAGAGUACAAUAUAAUAUAUUAUUAUAGCAAUUAUUUUAUUAAUUAUUUCGAGUAAAAUUAUUAUUAUAUUAUUAUUAUUAUUAUUAUUAUUAGU